rnacentral:rRNA from 1 species
GACGAACGCUGGCGGCGUGCUUAACACAUGCAAGUCGAACGGAAAGGCCCUGCUUUUGUGGGGUGCUCGAGUGGCGAACGGGUGAGUAACACGUGAGUAACCUGCCCUUGACUUUGGGAUAACUUCAGGAAACUGGGGCUAAUACCGGAUAGGAGCUCCUGCUGCAUGGUGGGGGUUGGAAAGUUUCGGCGGUUGGGGAUGGACUCGCGGCUUAUCAGCUUGUUGGUGGGGUAGUGGCUUACCAAGGCUUUGACGGGUAGCCGGCCUGAGAGGGUGACCGGCCACAUUGGGACUGAGAUACGGCCCAGACUCCUACGGGAGGCAGCGGUGGAGAAUAUUGCACAAUGGGCGGAAGCCUGAGGCAGCAGCGCCGCGUGCGGGAUAACGGCCUUCGGGUUGUAAACCGAUUUCGCCUGUGACGAAGCGUGAGUGACGGUAAUGGGUAAAGAAGCACCGGCUAACUACGUG